rnacentral:rRNA from 1 species
CCUACGGUGUGCAGCAGUGAGGAAUAUUGGACAAUGGGCGGGAGCCUGAUCCAGCCAUGCCGCGUGCAGGAAGACUGCCCUAUGGGUUGUAAACUGCUUUUUUACGGGAAGAAACACCCCCACGUGUGGGGGCUUGACGGUACCGUACGAAUAAGGACCGGCUAACUCCGUGCCAGCAGCCGCGGUAAUACGGAGGGUCCGAGCGUUAUCCGGAAUCAUUGGGUUUAAAGGGUCCGUAGGCGGGCGUCUAAGUCAGUGGUGAAAUCUCGCGGCUCAACCGUGAAAUUGCCAUUGAUACUGGUCGCAUUGAAUUAGUGUGAAGUGGCUAGAAUAUGUAGUGUAGCGGUGAAAUGCUUAGAUAUUACAUAGAAUACCGAUUGCGAAGGCAGGUCACUAACACUAUAUUGACGCUGAUGGACGAAAGCGUGGGGAGCGAACAGGACUAGAUACCCUAGUAGUC